UUAAUUUUUUAAUUAUAACGAAGAUAAUUAUAUUUUUACUAAACUUAAAUAGUAAUCAUAUUAAAUUUUUAAUUUAAAAAAUGUCAGACUUCCGCAAACUUCAGGGUCAUUGUAUAACAUGGUUUUUCAAUAUUUUCAUUACAACAAACAAACGGUACAGUUAACGCCGUUCUAUAUCAAUUAACAUCAUUCCCUAGUUAAAAUCAUUGAUUGAAAAUAAUUAAGAAGCGGUCACUCCAUACAAACUGUAUAUCUAUAUAUACAAACAAAAGAAUUGAAAUUGUUGAAAAGAAUUUGAAUUUCAUCAUUUUCAAUCAAUAUUUUUAAACAGGGUUCUCGUGUCACCACACCAGUCAUAUGACUUAAUAAAAUUACAUCUUAAUGAAAGUUAUUAUUACUCCUUGUAAAUCUAUCAUUUAAGUACAAACAAGUUGUUGUUGGUACAACAUUUCAAUAACUUAUACAUUUUUACAUGAGCAGAUUUAUCAACAUCUUAAAAUAAAAAUCAGUUCCCGGACAAAAUGCAUUUUACCAAUCCUGUUUAUUCCUAUCCACAAUUCUCGAUAAAUUCGACAGUCAUCAUAAUUAUCGUCGUCAAUAAGUAAGUUUACAAAUUCAAAUAAUUUCAAAUAGGUCAUAGGUUACAACGAACUGACUACUGUCUAGGAGGUGGCGUCAGCAUCGACCUUAGUAAUCACAGGACAACAUUUUAUUUAUUCCAUAGAAACGUACAUUGGUACGCUUGUAUCCAGGUACCUUAAAACAUGAUAGUAAGCAACAUGGAAAAAGUAAAGUCUUACUCAGAAUUUGAUAAGAUAUGCUCCGGAGGAUGCUUCAGCUUUUAAUUCUAUGCCUACCCGGAAUGCCUGUUUUAACGUGAUUUUGUCUAUCUAAAUUUUAUUGAAUGAAUAUAAAAACAUAAUUGAGAUCACUAAGACAAUGAAUUAAUUUUCCUGAAGUUUUCGGAAAU